rnacentral:lncRNA from 1 species
UUUUUUUAAAAAUAUUUAUUUGUUUAUUUUUCUUGCUGUUUGUGCUCAUAGCCCUUCAGUUAGCGUAUACAGCAACUCAAAUGCCUCAAUAGACUUUGAUAUAAAAUGAUGGUGCUCCCUCCCUCUCUCAUCCUUGUAAAGCUUAAUAACUUUUUUCAUGCAAUUGUGCUCCUUCUCUGAAGCUUCCCUCUUGUAUACAAUCUUUUACAUGCAUCGAUCCACGUUCUUCACUAAGCUGUGGUGGGGUCACCCUCGGUUUCUCUUGAUAUUUGUGAAAGUUGUAACCUUUUGCAAUUGUUGGUUUGCAGGAAAGUUCGGCAUAAUUUGGGAUUGUUAGUGCCAUGGUACAUAUGUUUUUGUGGACAAAUACGGUGAAACGUUUUCAAAUUAUCUCGGGCUUUCAGCUAGUAGAGAUACAGCUAUAAUAUAUUCUCUAACAAGUAAAGGCAGCACACAUGCGCACACACUCGCAUGUGGAAACAUUCAUACAUUGCCGAGUGCCUAAGAUUGCAUUUGACUGUAUCAAGAAAAAAGAAAGACGACCGCAAUUGUAUCUAAAACUGCAUCAUUUGAAACAUUUAACUUUAAUUUGUACUCCGUGUCUCAUGUGCUUGCUCACAUGCACUAGACAACAGAUAUUGGUAAAUAAUUUUCCCGUUGCCUUCCCUGCUUGCGGAGAUUGGAUUGAACAUACAAGAAGCUGAUGCCUUUUCCACUGUUGAUGGGUUUUCUCUGGAUAUUUUUGUUUUUGAUGGUUGGCUUGGUAAGGUAUGGUCCUAUUCUUUUCACCAGUUAGAAAAAUCAAGUGUUAGGUAUUUUUGGGGUAUCAGCCAGCUGUAGUCCUGAUUUUAUUCAAUGUUUUUUUUCUUAAUUGCUUAAAAAACAGAAAAAAGAAGAAGAGGGCAGCAUUGAAGUCGUCUAAAGUAAAAGAUGCACAUCUCGUGUAAAUUUGAUUCCUUGCUCAUGUGGAUUUGAAAUGUUAUUAUUUUAUCCGGCACUCUUGGUAUAUGCAAUUCUCUUUUUAAUAGUGAGAUAAUUGCCAGACUGACAUUGUUUGCUCACUGUACUACUUGGUCAUGUGCGUGGGAACCUACUGAGGAGCUUAGAAAUGCUCUAGAAAAGGAAAUCUUAAAGUCUAAGGUAAUUUUUCUUUAUACUGCGCUUUUAUUCAUAGUUGCAGCUUUCCAUAUCUCUAAAAUAAAUCUUUUUAUGAAUGCUUGCUGGUAGAACACCCUUUGUUUUAAUUAAUAUGUGUAUCAGCCAUCUCUAGGGUGUAGGAUGUAUGAAUUGUUGAUAGUUAUGUUUGCAAAUUGAUUACUUAACUUUUUUUUUCAUCACAUUAUCAUAAAUCAUUUAAAGUUAAACUAACCUCAUGGAGGUUAUGGUUCUAUCCUCAUUCCUUUGCCAGUGUAUGUGGCAAGCCUGUUAACUUGUUGCAGCUGAAAUGAUCUUUGGGGGAAAGAGGUGACCAAAUUUUAAAGGAGAACCGUGAUGUCCAUCUAGGUUUACAGUCUUGCUAUGGUGUGUUAGUAUUUGUUUGCUAUAUCUGUGAUUUACAUCUUCUGCUUGAUAUGCUACAUGAUGAUUAAGCAACUAGGACUUAAAGGAGGUCCUUAGUAAUAUUAGCGGGCAGAACCAAUUACUGUCAAUGUUCUUCAACUUGAAACUGUAAUUUUUUUUUUAAAAUAUUUAUUUGUUUAUUUUUUUGCAGUUUGUGCUCAUAGCCAUUUAGUUAGCGUAUACAGCAACUCAAAUGCCUCAAUUAACUUGAUGUUGGUAGCAUGUUCUCUGAAUAGUUAGCCAUUCCAGUCAGAGUUGAAAUCCAAUACCUCUGGACAAUUCCCCAUACUGGAAAUGACAAAAUUCCCAAAAAAGAAGGUUUAACUUUGUGUCUUCUCUUUUUUCUUGUUUUUGAUAGAAAAAGAAGGUGCUCUUUAAAAGUCAUUAGAUUAAAAAACACCAGUAUUCAUUGGGAUAUCUAGAUUGUGGGAAUUUUAACAUGGAUUGUUGGAAUUUUAACAGGAUGCCUCAUCUUCAUUAUAUAAACUAAGUUUGCAAUACUCCACUGGAGCAGUGCUUUCCAAAACAACCUUUUGUUUCUGUUGUUUGCAAGCAGAAUAAAACGGGGGUUGAAUCUCUUCCAGAUUGUGUUGAAUUACCCAGUGAUGGAACUAAUGUCUUGGAAAUUGACACAAGUCAACUGAAAGUUGAAAACAAUGUUGCAUCUGGAUCAUAUGGUGAUUUGUAAGUUGUGUCAUUUGAAAUCUAUGUUACUUUGCUGAUUGCAAGUUACUCAGUUGAUUGUUCAUUUAACCACUUCAGGUAUUGAGGCACGUAUUGUAGUCAGGAAGUGGCCAUCAAAGUGCUAAAGCCUGAGCGUGUCAGUGGAGAAAUGCUUAGGGAGUUCUACCAGGAAGUUUAUAUAAUGAGGUCUGUAAGAAUAUAUGCUUGAAAGAUCUCAAGACACCAUUUCUAAAACGUUUUGUUUGUAUACUCCUUAAUUAGAUGUUUCUUUUUUCUUCGAUCAUUUGAAACAAAAUAAGCAAGUGAAAGUCUAUUUCUAGUUGAUCUGGAACGAUUAGGAGAUUUGCUAGAAGAAAUAUGGGGUAGGUAUUGGUGGGGCUUGCAUAAUGUAGUUGUGGUUAGAUGAAACUAAAGGGAUCAAAGAAUUACAUAAAAAUGUACGAAAGAACUUAAUUGUAUGAACAAAAAACUCAACAUUUCUAAUCAAGAAUUGAAAACCUUUACAUGCAAAUAUUUGUGAUAUUAUUUCUCCAAAAUAAUAAUUUAUUAAAAUAAAAAAGCCUCCUAUUAUUAUCAAGAUAGGGGAAUAAGAACUUACUGAUAAAAAAAUCAAUACCUGGCCACUUCUCUAUGAUACCAGUUGUUGCUUCAUUGAAUUUGCGGACUUGGAAAGUUUCUGUUUUCCAAUAGAAAUGCUAGCCUACAUAUUUAUCAAGCUAUAUAUACAAGAUCGUAAAUACAAAAUAUAAGACUAAAGAACUAAAACCUUUCUACUCAUGAGUAUCUGCAAUGCCUUUUCAAGUAGAAAGCUUUUAUAUGCACAUUGAAGUUGCUUCUAUUGAGAAUAGUGUUAAUGCAUAAUUUGUAAUUUCCAUAAACCUUUAUAUAAAAUGAUGGUGCUCCCUCCCUCUGUCAUCCAUGUAAAGCUUAAUAACUUUUUACAUGCAAUUGUCCAGCUUCUCUCUUGUAUACAAUCUUUUACAUGCAUCGAUCCACCUUCUUCACUAAGCUGUGGUGGGGUAACCCUCGGUUUCUCUUGAUAUUUGUGAAAGUUGUAACCUUUUGCAAUUGUUGGUUUGCAGGAAAGUUCGGC